GACGAACGCUGGCGGCGUGCUUAACACAUGCAAGUCGAACGGUAAGGCCCUUCGGGGUACACGAGUGGCGAACGGGUGAGUAACAUGUGGGUGAUCUGCCCUGCACUUCGGGAUAAGCCUGGGAAACUGGGGCUAAUACCGGACAGGACCACUGCCUGCAUGGAUGGUGGUGGAAAGCUUUUGCGGUGUGGGAUGGGCCCGCGGCCUAUCAGCUUGUUGGUGGGGUGAUGGCCUACCAAGGCGACGACGGGUAGCCGGCCUGAGAGGGUGACCGGCCACACUGGGACUGAGAUACGGCCCAGACUCCUACGGGAGGCAGCAGUGGGGAAUAUUGCACAAUGGGCGCAAGCCUGAUGCAGCGACGCCGCGUGAGGGAUGACGGCCUUCGGGUUGUAAACCUCUUUCAGCACCGACGAAGCGCAAGUGACGGUAGGUGCAGAAGAAGGACCGGCCAACUACGUGCCAGCCGCCGCAGUAA
rnacentral:rRNA from 1 species